rnacentral:rRNA from 1 species
UACGAAGGGGGCUAGCGUUGCUCGGAAUCACUGGGCGUAAAGGGCGCGUAGGCGGCGUUUUAAGUCGGGGGGUGAAAGCCUGUGGCUCAACCACAGAAAUUGCCUUCGAUACUGGGGAAGCUCGAGUCCGGGAGAGGUGAGUGGAACUGCGAGUGUAGAGGUGAAAUUCGUAGAUAUUCGCAAGAACACCAGUGGCGGAAGGCGGCUCA